rnacentral:rRNA from 1 species
AUGCAAGGUAUGGCGCUGGCUAUCGAGCAUUCCACGGCUCCGGUGAUUCUUCAAUCGGACUCUUCUGAAGCGUUGUCUUGCCUGGCUAUGGAGGCCCUCCAACGUUCAGCUUAUAGUCAAUUGGUGUUGGAAAUCAAGUACUUAUCUGGUAUUAGGGAGAAUUCUCAGAAACUUAGUCAUGUUCAAAAUAGAGUGACCGAUCGUUUGGCAAACUAUAGCCGUACGGAGCGAGCUACCGCUGUGUGGCUAGGCUCAAUUCCUCUUUGUAUUGAGGAUGUAUGGCCUCUCGACUGUAACUCUAUGAAUUUGCAAUAA